rnacentral:lncRNA from 1 species
AUUUUUGAAAUAUUUUCCAUUUUGAAAUUGGAAAGCUUAUACUGCAGACCCAGGCAUUUCUGCUCUGUUCCCCCUGUCCCAGAGAUGUCAUCAUGUCUUCAUUCAAACACUGCACUGCCCAGCAGAGAAGCGCCUCACAAAGAAACAUAAAAGACAAGUACCAGGGAAAGACAUGAUUCUGUGGAAUAAAAAGAUGAAAACCAGCCAUGACCACAUGAAAAUAAAAGAAGAUAAAGAUCAUUUCUUGAACAAUACCUUCACAUCACCAGAGCUGGGGAAAGUGGAAAGAGACAGAAAACUGUGAUAAGAAAUGAGAUUUUCUGUGCCUGAAAAAGUCCCGUUCUGCUUUACUGAAGGAAAAAGAGGAAAAGUUGAGGAAGAUGGCAGCAUGAAUCAAAGACAUGGACUAAUAACUUGUAAUGAGAGACGGAUAAAUGUGGAACCCCCAGGCAUGUCUCUGCUCAGCGUUCCCAUCAGGUGCAGUGGCCUGUUAUGGAUAAAGAAGGAGAGGGCUGGGCCAGAUGAUCGCGUGCCCUUCCCCAAGGUCCCACCAGGCAGACAGUGCCGGAGGUUCGGCCACCCAGCCCCUCACCCACAGCUGGUCGGACUAGAGGAGGAAGUGACUCACGAAGAGCAGGUUUGCUCUAAGAACAGAAGGAGCAAGUGUUGCAAGAAGAGGAGGGAUUUUGGAGCCGACGCUUUGAUGAUAAAAUUGGAUUGAAAGAGAGGCCACUGAUGGUUGAAGGUAAGAGUGACUAUUUAUAACCAAAACCUCUGGAUCUGUGAAUUGGGAUGGUGUCUUUUCAUAGAGACAGUUGUCACUCUGGUAUGAUUAUAAUAUGGAUCUUUGACUGUUGUUCAUUCGCUGAUAAUGUAUUCAUUCUAUGCUGAGCCAAGCUCCA